rnacentral:lncRNA from 1 species
AAGGAAUGGGAGGAGGACACCAAUAAAACCUUGAACCAUUUGAAGUUGUUGGCCAUAUUGUUGUAACUACGAUUUAAGAUUAUCAAUUUCUUCUGAAUUUUGAUGUUGAGUGGAAGAUGCCUGUGUCUGUCGGAUGUAACUAUCCACACAGUCAUUUUGGGAACUGACAUUUCCAAUGCCAGAUACACGCCCCUUGUAUCUUCCACCAGCAGCAUCUAACCAACAUUAGUUUCUCAAUCUCUCCUCCUCUACAGGGUCUAGAGGACUAGAUGCUGAGGCACCAACAGAUGCAGCCUCAGAUCUCAUUUGAGAAAAUUUGGCUUGAAA